AUGCAGACUUAUUUCCAUGGAUUUGGAGCAUUUUCUGUUCUCUGUUUAUUGAUUAGACUUUCUUCUUUCUUUCUUCCUCCCUUUCUUUCUCUUCUUCCUUCCUUCCUUCCUUCCUUCCUUCCUUCCUUCCUUCCUUCCUUCCUUCCUUUGUGAAAACUGGCAAAAGCCUUCUCUUCUGGCAAAAGUUCUUCUCUUCUGUGAUAACUCUGGCCUUUCCCUUUUUGUACACAUUCCAGGUGGGCAUCACAGGUCCUUUUAGCUGGGUGGCCAAUUUAAGUUCUUCAGCAGAACUGUCUUCCUUCUUUGGAGCAGAAGGCUUCCUACUCCUUCAGGGGCUGCGAUUGACCUCAAAACGGGGAGGCCUCCUGGAACCCGUUGUGGAACUCUUCGCCAGAGAAAAUAAUAUUGAGCCAUAGUUCUCAUGGCAAUCUAUCUGUUUUGUUUUCUCUUAUUCCUUUUCUUAUUUACAUAUUUACAUGUUCCUAGCCAAGAUCUUAAGCGAGAAUAAUGGGCAAGAAACCAUUCCUUGAGAUGGGGCCACUAACAUGACCUUAUCCCCGGGGAAACCAACGCUUUACUUUUUAAAUCAUUUACAAAACUAUUAUGAUAGAUAAAAAUUUUCCCAAUAACAAAAUUUCAUACAGCUACAUGUGUGUCAUCAGAGGUGGGUUUUGGUAUAUGGUAAAGAAAGCCUAAAUUAAAAAGAAUUAAAAUGGUUUAAAUUUAUACAUUGAAGAUUUAUAAAAAAUUAGGCAGAUGUUACAUAAUAAUUGACCAUGGGGCUAGAGAGUUAGCUCAGCGUUUAAGAGCACUGACCAUUAAAAAUUUAUUAACCUGCUCCUGGAAAUAUGCCACUAGCCUUGGAUAACA
rnacentral:lncRNA from 1 species